rnacentral:miRNA from 1 species
AUCGGGAAUAUCGUGUCCGUCC